GUGGGGAAUCUUCCGCAAUGGACGAAAGUCUGACGGAGCAACGCCGCGUGAGUGAAGAAGGUUUUCGGAUCGUAAAGCUCUUUCGUUAGGGACGAACGUGCUCUUUGUGAAUAAUGAGGAGUAAUGACGGUACCUAAAUAAGAAGCCACGGCUAACUACGUGCCAGCAGCCGCGGUAAUACGUAGGUGGCAAGCGUUGUCCGGAAUUAUUGGGCGUAAAGCGCGCGCAGGCGGGAUAUCAAGUCUGUCUUAAAAGUGCGAGGCUAAACCUCGUGAGGGGACAGAAACUGGUAUUCUUGAGUGUCGGAGAGGAAAGUGGAAUUCCAAGUGUAGCGGUGAAAUGCGUAGAUAUUAGGAGGAACACCAGUGGCGAAGGCGACUUUCUGGACUGUAACUGACGCUGAGGCUCGAAAGCCAGGGGAGCGAACGGGAUUAGAAACCCGUGUAGUCC
rnacentral:rRNA from 1 species